rfam:Cylindrobasidium torrendii FP15055 ss-10 unplaced genomic scaffold CYLTOscaffold_36, whole genome shotgun sequence.
UGCCCCAUGGCUGAGUUGGUUACAGCGUCCGACUGUUAUCCAUAACCAUCGGAAGGUCGUGAGUUCGAGCCUCACUGGGGCAG